rnacentral:lncRNA from 1 species
GACUUAGACCCAGGGCACCACAGAUGGUCAGAACUGGAAAGAUUCAUGGAGGUCAUUUCAUCUGGCCGGGGCCCAGAAGGACUAGGAGAUGUGCCUGCAGUCCCUCAAGGGGAGUCAAACAUCAAGAGGCUACAGGGCGCCGGGUGCGGUGGCUCACGUCUGUAAUGCCGGCACUUCAGGAGGUCGAGGCGGGCGGAUCAUCUGACGUCAGGAGUUUGAGACCAGCCUGGCCAACGUGGUGAAACCCUGUCUCUACUAAUAAUAAAAAACUAGCUGGGUGAGGUGGCUCAUGCCUGUAAUCCCAGCACUUUGGGAGGCCGAGGCAGGCAGAUCACUUGAGGUUAGGAGUUUGAAACCAGCCUUGCCAACAUGGUGAAACCCCGUCUCUACUAAAACUAUAAAAAUUAUCUGGGCGUGGUGGCACCUGCCUGUAAUCCCAGCUA